UCUCGCUUCCCACCAGCCCGACCUGGCACGGUCCUGUCCGGGAGACCUUGCGCCUCCCCUAGGAGCCUGGUCCUCCUGAAUGUCUGAAUGGCUUCCUUCCUCUCCUCCCAGUUCCUGUUCAAACUGCCACCUUCGAGCUGAGGUCUGCUUGGCCCCACAUCCUCACAGGUUCUCUUUCUCUUCGUUAAUUCCCUUCCCCCCAACAAUCCCUAAGCCGGAGUUCCUCCCGUGUCUGACCCCCGGGUGCAUGUGCACACACACACGCACACACACACAUCAGUAGUAGCAGCAGCAGCAGGCGUUCAUGGCUACCCUGAGCCACAGCUUUGCAGCGCUCAGAGCAGAGGGGUGAAGAACAUGAGAAACACUAGUCUCCUGUCACAGAGACCUUCAGAAACCCAGGGAAGCCAGGAGCUACCCCAGAAAGGGGCGCUGUUCUCCCAGUAGGCAGGGAAGGAGGGCAGUUGGGACUCUGCCAACCCCAGAAUGGUAGGCAGUUGACAGUUGGAAAAACCAAGGCAAGAAGGGCAGAGAAGCACCUUUGCCCUUAUCAGAGAAGAGCAGAUAGAUACCCCGGUGUCCCUGGGGCCCCACUAGACCAUGAGGCCCUGGAGGGCAGGGCUGGGCCUGGCCCCCACCUUCCCCGCCAGGGCCCAGCUCAGAAGCCUGCAGGCAGAUGCAUUACUAGAAGCUUGUUAGGCUGCGUAGACAGCCUCAGGACACCCUUCCAGCAUUUAAGCUAAACCCCGCAAGGGUGCCUGAGUGGCAGCGGUGGACCCCCUAAACCUGCUCUAUCGCUGAGGUUUCUUGGGAUCUGACAGUCCACCUGAGGGAAGGCAGCAGCUGCAAGGAUAUUUGCCUGGCUGCUCCACCCAUUCUGGGUAACCUGCAGGACACACUCUGGAAAUCAGAAGAACGGUGGUGCCCUCCUACCCCUGAGAGAAAGAACUAAGCUGCUGCAAGCCAAGUGGAAGGAAGGGAGCUUGGAAAUUCAGAGUGAGCAGAAUCAUUUCCUUCCGUCCUCCUGCUCUCUCAGGGAAUGGAUUUGCUUCAUUCUUCCACAUCCCCUUUCAGGGAUCCCUGAAUUCUCUCCCCCACCAAAGAAACCCCCUCCCCUUCACCAGGGCUUCUCUCCUGCUGGUUUGCAGCUUUGAGGAUAGGACUCAUAUUCUGCGCUUUGAGGUCCUUUCCACUGGGGUGCUUGGCUUGAUGCCUUUGUGAGGUAACAAAACCAUAUCCUGCCAGGGUCUGUCAGGUGUCCUUUCCUUCUGCCCCCAGGCUUCCCCUCAGGGGAGACCAAGCUACCAAGGAAGCCUCGCCAAGCUUGGAAUCCCAGAGACCUCCCCACAGGGGCGAAGGUGCCAUCACGCUAGACACCUGCUCAACUUGCUGGUCCCCGGAAAUCUCAGCUGCACUGCUACAAACAAGCCUCCUUCCUUGGAUGUACCCUCUACCUCUGCCUAGGAAGAGACAGCAUUUGACUAAGUGCAAGUUCAGGCUGACCUCUUUCCUCAGAGACAUGCCUCGAGACAUAUAUUCUGGAGUGUUCUGUAGGAAUCAAUCCAACAGGCCUAGAACAUUCGUGACUGAGAAAGCACCUCCUUCACAAUUCUUUGCUGUAGCUGUGUUUACCAUUAACCAAAUCAUGGAGAAUUUCAAAGGGAUUCCUGGUAUCAUCUCCACCUCCGCUUGAUGAUGCCUUUAAAGGACUCAUGGACUCCAGCUGCAGUUCUGUCCAGGUUUUGCAGACACUCGUCCCUUCCUGCCCUUCCUGCUGAGUGCGUUCCACCUGUCUUCACCCGGAAUGCUGAGCCCACAGUGCCCACAGUGAAUGACCAGACUCAACCAGCCGCCCCUGUUGCCUGUGACAGGAGAAUCGGGGGGACAGGCUCCUUCCAAUUCUCUCAAGUUCAGAACCAAGAAGACAAUGCAGUGUUUUCUGAGAAAUGCCCUGUCUGCAAUGUGGGGGGAAGAGAUGGGGGAAGACAGGAGCAGGAGGCCAAAGUUAAGCAGCCUGAGCAGCAAGGGAAAGCCCAGGGCCAGGCUGUGGGAACGGACCCGACUGUGUCGUCUGGCAGCAUAUUUUCACGGAG